AGUGAACGCUGGCGGUAGGCCUAACACAUGCAAGUCGAACGGCAGCACAGUAAGAGCUUGCUCUUACGGGUGGCGAGUGGCGGACGGGUGAGGAAUACAUCGGAAUCUACUUUUUCGUGGGGGAUAACGUAGGGAAACUUACGCUAAUACCGCAUACGACCUACGGGUGAAAGCAGUGGAUCUUCGGACCUUGCGCGAUUGAUUGAGCCGAUGUCGGAUUAGCUAGUUGGCGGGGUAAAGGCCCACCAAGGCGACGAUCCGUAGCUGGUCUGAGAGGAUGAUCAGCCACACUGGAACUGAGACACGGUCCAGACUCCUACGGGAGGCAGCAGUGGGGAAUAUUGGACAAAGGGCGCAAGCCUGAUCCAGCCAUACCGCGUGGGUGAAGAAGGACUUCGGGGUGUAAAGCCCUUUUGUUGGGAAAGAAAAGCAGCAGGUUAAUACCCCGCUGUUCUGACGGUACCCAAAGAAUAAGCACCGGCUAACUUCGUG
rnacentral:rRNA from 1 species